rnacentral:rRNA from 1 species
GACGAACGCUGGCGGCGUGCUUAACACAUGCAAGUCGAACGGAAAGGCCCUGCUUUUGUGGGGUGCUCGAGUGGCGAACGGGUGAGUAACACGUGAGUAACCUGCCCUUGACUUUGGGAUAACUUCAGGAAACUGGGGCUAAUAACGGAUAGGAGCUCCUGCUGCAUGGUGGGGGUUGGAAAGUUUCGGCGGUUGGGGAUGGACUCGCGGCUUAUCAGCUUGUUGGUGGGGUAGUGGCUUACCAAGGCUUUGACGGGUAGCCGGCCUGGGAGGGUGACCGGCCACAUUGGGACUGAGAUACGGCCCAGACUCCUACGGGAGGCAGCAGUGGGAAAUAUUGCACAAUGGGCGGAAGCAUGAUGCAGCAACGCCGCGUGCGGGAUGACGGCCUUCGGGUUGUAAACCGCUUUCGCCUGUGACGAAGCGUGAGUGACGGUAAUGGGUAAAGAAGCACCGGCUAACUACGUG